rnacentral:lncRNA from 1 species
GUCUUAGGAAAUACUGAGUGUAGGCAGUUCCACUUCAAGCUAUGAUGUGAAAGGAUGUGAAAGACUUUUACUUCCAUGGCAACAGCAUGAAAAACCAAGACAACACAUAACUCACACUUCCCUGUGAGGCUCAUGAAGCAUGGUGGGUGUUGGGAAGCUUCUAUAAACUGAUUACCAGACAGAAAGGUGAAGAAACUGAGGGAGCAGAUGAUUUGUUGAGGUCAAACCCUAUGAAGUAACAUAGAAGAAUUUAAACUCAGGAAAUGUAUUUUGUCACAAGGGUGCAAAGCUGCCCAAUACGGAUAGCGUCCUAUCCUGCAGGGGGACGUGAGUUCACCUACUGCUGAGUCCCACUCCAGUCUGAUCCCCUACUAAAGGAAUCGUGGGGAUUCCCCCUUAUGACUUCCUCUAAUCCUAAUCACCUCCUGAAGGCCUCACCUCCAAAUAUCAUAACCCUGUAACUUUGGAGAUGAGGUUUCCGCUUGAGUUUGGAGAGGACCAACAGUGGGAUAGCUCUGAAGGCAGCUGGGUGCCCAAGUUUACCACAUGAACGCUGUACACAGCAAUACUCCUUCUAAGCCCCUUCUUUGGAUGGCAGUGAUCCCACUGAACUUUCUGGGGACUUCUCAGGUUCCCAGAGUGCAGACUGGUUGUGCUGAGAAGUUGAGGAAGACCAGGACUGGCAAACCAUCCUUCGGCACUAAAAGAAACAGCGCUUCAAAAUGGCAGCCUUAGUUUAAAGCUGUAUAAAACACGGCUAAAUGCAAUACUUCUGGACAGCAGGGGUUACCAACCAAAGAUUUCGUUUUAAAGAACAAAAAAGGGAAAGGAAAAACAAAACCACCACGGAUACAGAGGAGGAACCCUGAGGCAAAAAUGGCGUUUCCUG